rnacentral:rRNA from 1 species
UACGUAGGGGGCAAGCGUUGUCCGGAUUUAUUGGGCGUAAAGAGCGUGUAGGCGGCUAUACAGGUCCGCUGUGAAAACUCGAGGCUCAACCUCGAGACGUCGGUGGAAACCGUAUGGCUAGAGUCCGGAAGAGGAGAGUGGAAUUCCUGGUGUAGCGGUGAAAUGCGCAGAUAUCAGGAGGAACACCAAUAGCGAAGGCAGCUCGCUGGGACGUUACUGACGCUGAGACGAGAAAGCGUGGGGAGCGAACAGG